AAAUCGGAUCAGGGUUAGUCGGGUCCUUAGGAAAACCCGAAAGGGGCAUCUGAUGGAAAGUUGGUUAAUAUUCCAACACCUGCUUUAGUUUCGAUGGGGUAACGGGGUAGUGAAAGGACUGCGUGAUCACGGAUGUUCACGUUAAAGGGUGUAGUUAUAUUUUGUACAGGUAAAUCCGUAUAGAAUGGCGAACCUGAUAGUACAGCAAUGUUUCGGCGGCGCUGAUAUGUCCCUAAUCAAACCUCCAAGAAAAACCUCUAAGUUAUGGCUAAAGCGGCCCGUACCGCAAACCGACACAGGUAGACGAGAUGAGUAUUCUAAGGCGCUCGGGUGAGCCGUGGAGAAGGAACUAGGCAAAUUGACGCUGUAACUUCGGGAUAAAGCGUACCGUAGUAAUAUGGUCCCAGUAAAAUGGUUCAACCAACUGUUUAACAAAAACACAGGGCCCUGCAAAAUCGUAAGAUGACGUAUAGAGCCUGAUACCUGCCCGGUGCUGGAAGGUUAAGGAAGGGUGUUCGACGCAAGUCAAAGCUCCUGACUGAAGCCCCAGUAAACGGCGGCCGUAACAAUAACGGUCCUAAGGUAGCGAAAUUCCUUGUCGGGUAAGUUCCGACCUGCACGAAUGGUCUAAUGAGUUGAACGCUGUCUCCUCCACGAGCCCGGUGAAAUUGUAGUAUCGGUGAAGAUGCCGGUUACCCGCCACGGGACGGAAAGACCCCGUGAACCUUCACUACAACUUUGCAUUGAUUUUGAGUGACAGAUGUGUAGGAUAGUUGGGACGCUUUGAAGCAGCCUCGCCAGGGGUUGUGGAGCGGUCGUUGAAAUACCAACCUUCUGUUACUUAGAGUCUAAUCCCUUGCGGGAGACAUUGCAUGGUGGGUAGUUUGACUGGGGUGGUCGCCUCCUAAAAAGUAACGGAGGCUUGCAAAGGUACCCUCAGUACGGUUGGUAAUCGUACGCAGAGCGCAUUAGUAUAAGGGUGCUUGACUGUGAGGCACACACGCCGAGCAGGAGCGAAAGCUGGCUAAAGUGAUCCGGCGGUUCUGUAUGCAAGGGCCGUCGCUCAAAGGAUAAAAGGUACUCCGGAUAACAGGCUGAUCUCCCCCAAGAGCUCAUAUCGACGGGGAGGUUUGGCACCUCGAUGUCGGUUCGUCACAUCCUGGGGCUGGAGAAGGUCCCAAGGGUUCGGCUGUUCGCCGAUUAAAGUGGCACGUGAACUGGGUUCAGAACGUCGCAAGACAGUUCGGUCCCUAUCUGUGGUGGGCGUUAGUAAAUUGAGUGGACAUGACCUUAGUACGAGAGGACCGGGUCGUACGUGCCGCUGGUGUAUCUGUUGUGCCGCCAGGUGCAAUGCAGAGUAGCUACGCACGGCAAGGAUAAACGCUGAAAGCAUCUAAGCGUGAAACCUUCCACAAGAUGAGUUUACUUUUAAGGGUCGUCAAAGACUAUGACGUUGAUAGGCUAUAGGUAUAAAGGUGGUAACAUCAAAGCCGAGUAGUACUAAUUGCCCGUACGCUUUAACGA
rnacentral:rRNA from 1 species